GUGCUUACUUCGCUAGCACAAACGCUAAAACUGGAACAAUCCAGAGAAGGUUAGCUUGGCCCCUGCAGCAGGAUGCAUGCAAAUUCAUGAAGGGUUCCAUAUCCAC
rnacentral:snRNA from 1 species